rnacentral:lncRNA from 1 species
CAGUGUUCCACUGUGAGAAUGCACAAAAGGAAGAGUGACUCAGAGCCAGAAACCAACUUGAAUAAUGAGAGUCCAAGUGCUCGUCCAGCCUUCCGUGCCAGUGCUUCUGAAAGAGCCUUGAAAUGAAAAAUAAAUACUUAGAGAAAGCAUUGGCAGAAGUGAGAAGCUGAAAGAUUCUAACACAUACUUGGAGAGCAAGUGUUUUCUCCUUCCGAAGAUAAAUUUAGGUCUGACGUAAAAGGGAAGGAACAUGGUGGAAUAGGAGAGAUGCAGAAUUAAAGAAAGAAGCAGAGCAGCAAGAGUCAUUGAAAUGGAAAAAACAGAAGUUUAGAAGGUCAUCGAUUCUGGAUCCUCAUCUAUUCACAGCCUUUGUGCCACCUAGUAUUCAGAAGUUCAAGCCACUUAUUUCAUCCGAAGAUGCGCUGGUGGUCUUAGACAUUCUGUAUAAAGAUAAAAUGUGGAAGAAAUAUUUUCCCAGUCCAUUUCCAAGUAGGAAUUGAAUAGAAUCAGGUUGGAAUUUCUCUAUAAGAUAUGUCAGUUUUGGGCACUCUGACAUUUAAUACAUUCUGUUUGAAUUGCUGCUCUUCUCACACAUAUGUGGCCUUACCAGUUACUUUCUUCCAUUGACCAAAAUGUUUAUAUGUAUUUCUUAAAAUAUAGUUUAUGUUUUUAGAUAGACUGCCACAAUUUAGUCAUCCAGAUGGUCUCCCCAAGUCCAAAUAGUUAAAGGGACAAUUAGUCUCUAAAUAAAAAAAAAA